rnacentral:rRNA from 1 species
UACGUAGGGGGCAAGCGUUGUCCGGAAUUAUUGGGCGUAAAGCGCGCGCAGGCGGUCAAUGAAGUUGGGUGUUUAAGCCCGGGGCUCAACCCCGGUACGCAUCCAAAACUGGUUGACUUGAGUGUAGGAGAGGGAAGUGGAAUUCCACGUGUAGCGGUGAAAUGCGUAGAGAUGUGGAGGAACACCAGUGGCGAAGGCGGGUCUCUGGGCCACUACUGACGCUGAGGAGCGAAAGCGUGGGGAGCAAACAGG